GGGAAAGUGACAGGACUUAUUGUGUGUAUUAAACUCACUGUUAUUUUAUCCCUAAGAAAGAAAAACAGAGGAGAAAAGUAGCUGGAGCAAAACAGGGGGAAAAAAUAACGAUAAAAGGAUGAUCCCUCUGCAAUGUAUUCCACAGUUGCAGACAGAAACACUGGUUUAUGUGACAAGACAACCACACCACUCAUUACACCAGAUGAUGAUCCCUAUGCAAUGUUUCUGUGUGAACCGCAGCAUACAUCAACCAAGAGGAGACAACAACACUCUACAGUGCACCAGUAAGAGAUGAUCUCUCAGUGAUAUACUGCACCAUCGUCCACAUGACAGGAAAAGGGAAGGCAGCAGUGAGUCCGGAGAACAGUGGAGAAUUUGUGUUUAUUUAACCUUUAUUUAACUAGGCAAGUCAAUUAAGAACAAAUUCUUAUUUACAAUGACGGCCAGAGUAGGCCAGCAUUAAGAUGGGCAGAUCCUCCUAGACCCAUUAUACAGUAUGUGUGGUUAUUGUUACCAUGUAUUACUUCCCUGUAAAUAUGUUUCCCUCUUCACAUUCAAAUCUUGAUCUUACAACGCAUUUAAAAUACCAUAUGAUAGAAUUCAAAUUUGAUACAAAUUACAUUAUGUAUUUAGUCUUUUACUUCUCUUCUAUAAUACCAUAAAUUAAAUGCAUUCUGUAAAUAUGUAUGAUAUAUUACUUUUCUAAAUGAAAUUAAUAUCAUUACUUUUAUUAACAGUGUAAAGAAUAGGAAAAUCUAUGGCAAUAAGGCAAUAAAGUUUGAACAAAAAGUACGCUCUUCUCUUCAUUUUGAUAAGUUGUGGUGUUUUAUGUACAUACAUUGGCAAUGUUUAGAAUCAUAGUUCUGCUAAAUUCAUGCUUAGUCUCUAAUGGUGGUAUGUGGAGUUAUAUUGCAAUGUGUAAUGUCUGCUUCCAACUCACACUCUCAAACACAUAGAUCCUUUGAACGCAGCUCACGCUCCAGAUCCCAAUCACCUGAAUUCUGAUCACCUGUUCACACACCUGUAUGUCAUUAUCACACACUAUUUAGUUCAGUUCUUUGCACCCCACCAUUGUGAGGUAUUGUUUGUUUUGUUACAUGGUCUAGUCAGAGCUCUGUUUAGUUCUGUAUUAGUCCUCCCGUUUAGUGUAGUUUUUGGCCAUCCUCACUAACCACACCUUUUUGCCUAUUCCCUGCCUGUACUUUUGCCUAUCAGAUUUCCUGUCGUCAACCCCUUACCUGAUCUCCCGUACUAUGUUAUUAGCCUUUUCCCUGCCUGUACUGUUACCUUUUUGGAGUCCCUGUGUAUGCCUCCUCCCAUGGUCAUUUGCUAAUAAACAACUGCUGCGCCCUGCGCUGGAAACCAGCACUCUGUCUCCCAUCGUAUUGAUUACACAAUGACGAUAGAAAUUCUCUUCAACCAGUAUGCCUUUGUUGAUUUUGGGGAAUUAUGCAAUACCUGCCUCUAAAGUGGCUGAGCAGUUUUCCAUUUAUGAAAUGACAGAUUGGCGGUCAUUUUGUCAUGGCUAAGAUUAUCAUGGUCAAAUGAACUAUGCUUCCAUUCAAAAAUGGACAUUUUUAGAAGAGCUGACUAUAAGGAGAGGAGAAUGACUAGUUAGAGAAAAAGGAGAAGCAGAGAGGUAUGUAACCAGAUGUGGGGUGAGAGUCAGGACAUACCAUUUACACUCUACUUUUACUUCCCAUGUCACAUAGGUACACAUAUUGUCAGUCUACACUCACAGGGAAAACUCAGUCCUUCUCUCAACACACACACAGAACAUACCGUUUCUGUCUUUCAACAUCAGGAGACCGUCAUCAUCAUGUGGAUCUCUGUGUUUCUGAUCAGCUCAAUCCUUCACAUUACUGCAGGAAAUGAAGGCUGUACUCUGUCAGGCACUAACCAUCCACUGCAGGAGAUCACUGCAUUCACAGGCCAGUCUGUUCUCCUGCCCUGCUCCUGUACUGUACGUCAGUUUGAUACUCCCAGACUCACCUGGACUAAAUUAACCCUAGGUCAGGAGCCUGUGAUAUUAACCCAGAGUGAUCUCUACAUAGACAGAGUGGAGCUGUUAAAUAGAAAACACCCUGGGAACCUCUCUGUCCUCCUCUCACACCUCACUCAGGAUGAUCAGGGAGAUUACAGAUGUACACUUGAGGAUAGUGACAACUGGGACAUAGAGAGGGACAUCAGACUCCAUGUUAAAGGUAAAAUAUUAAUCUCAGGCUUAGACAGCUGUAUAUAGAAAGUAUAACAGUAGAAGGCAAACAUCUGUACAAAACCAUUCAUGGUUUGGUCCAUCAAAUAUAUAAGCUAUUUCAGAUUACUACAGUAUAUGGCAUUGAUAAUACUGAAGGCUAGCAGUAAUACUGUUAGUAAUGGGUAGUCUUACGUGUUCAUGUUAGCAGUUGUAGAGAGCUACCAUGAUCUAAAAUUGAUCAAGUAGGUUUCCCUCAACAAAUUGCUCUGUUUUGUUGUGGAAAAUUACAUAAUUAGUCAUGCUAUCCUGUGUUUUACUGCUUAAAGAAUAGUCUCUUGUUAUAUGUUAGUGUUUUUUCUCACCUGAUACAAACUUGUCUGGUGUGACUUAGUCAUAAGACUGGUCUUACAGCUAAGAGACAUUUGGAUGCCACCGCAGCAUGUGAAAUCCUGUGGGUUUACUAUCUACAGAAAGUCACAUGUAUGGAACCUUGCAGAAAGGAGUAAAAUAUAGUGUUUGUUGUUGUGAAUGCAGUUAGAUGUAUGAGCACAAGGUUGAUAGCCAGAGGGCUAUCUUAAGUUUACACAGACAUCGAAUGACCUUUUACACACAAUCUGCUGACUGCCACAUAUACAGAAAGGGGUUGUAUGUUUUUCUCUAUAAAAGCAUUGAAACAGCACUGUUCGUUGAGCUUUUCAACUAUGCACUGUUUAGUGGAUAGUUGAUUCUCUUAUAAUAAAGUGUUGUUUGAAAGAAUCUGCAGUCUCUCUUCCCUUUGAUUAGAUAUUCCACGACAGUUUCAACAGGCUGCACUUUGUCAGGUGUCCAAUCAAGGAUAGAGAAGACAGGAACACAUACAGGGACAUCAGAAGAGAAGAGACUUAGAGUCUCAGGCUUAGAUGGAUGUGUAUAGAAAGUAUGACAGGAAGCAACAGUAUACGGCAAACAUCGGUACAAACAAACAAUAAGUACAGUCCAUAAAAAUAUAUCAGCUUUUUCAGAUUACUAUUUGUGUACAAGAAGAAUAGCAGCAAUACUGUUAGUAAUGGGUAGUCUUAUGCGUUCAUGGUAGAAGUUGUAGAGAACUACCAUCAUUUAAAAUGAAAAAAAGUAAGUAUAACACAUUUCUACGUGUUUCAACAGGCUGCAGUUUGUCAGACUCUAACCAACUGGAGAUAGUUCGAUCCCCGGGCCAGUCUGUGCUCCUGCCCUGCUCCUGCAAUGAACUCCAGGCUAAACCUCACAAACUGACAUGGACUAAACUCCCCGCUAUACCAUUAACCAAGUGUGAUCUCUACAGAGACAGAGUGGCAAUGUUUAACACUGAGAGCUCUCCAGGGAACCUCUCUGUUCUUCUCUCAUUCAUCACUAAGGAGGAUCAGGGGUGGUACAGGUGUACAAUCAACAACCAAGACACUAGAGACAUACAUAUCACUGUUGAAGGAACAGACACAGUGAGGACGUCAGGAGAAGCUCCAUCUGCAUCCUCUCUGCAAAACAAUCCAAUCCAAUACGUCUUAAUGGCUGUCCUACCAGUCAUACUGAUCAUCGCUGGAAUGGCUUUGUACAUAUACAAGAGAAACAAAAGUAUUUAUCCACAAUUGCAACCACUAAAAAAAGCAAUGUGGAAUGUGGGAAUGGUUCAUUUUGUGUACUAAACUCUGUUUUUUUUAUCCCAGGAAAGAAAACCACAGGGAAUAAUAGUAGAGGGAGCAAAACAGGAGGAGAGAAUAAUGAUGAGGUUAAUGAAUCAUUUAGAAGCUCUAAAACAGUGAGAGUGAUGGGGAAUGAAGAUAGAAAGAAUACAUCCCACUUAUCAUUGUGUUGUUAUAUGGUUAAGGGUUCAAAGUUACUGUAUGUGUGCCUUAUUUUCUGUCUCAAAAAAGAUGACAUCUCAAUCCCUGUGUUAUUUGUGUGCUAAUGAAUGUUGCAACUUCAUUAUACAGUAUGUGUCUCAUUGUAUCUUCCCUCUCUAGGAUGAUCCCAAUGCAAUGAAUGCUACGGUUCAACACAGAAACGCCAACCAAGAGGAUACAACUACACCACUCAGUGCUCCAGAUGAUCCCUCAGUGAUAUACUGCACCAUCGUCCACAUGACAGGAAAAGGGAAGGCAGCAGUGAGUCUGGAGAACAGUGGAGAAAUAGAGUACGCCAGUAUCAAGACAGGCAGAUCCUCCUAGAACCACUAUACAAGGAUCACAGCCUUAUAAUACAGAGAGAUCUCUAACAGUAUUGUGCCCAGUAUCAUGAGGCUUUAUCUGGCACACUUAACUAUAAAUAUAUUUCACUCUCCAAUAACACAUGUUUAGUGGUUAACUGGGCACAGGAAAUCAGGGGCGGGUUUACCUAUGCGAACAUAUGGAAUUGUUUUAAGAUGGUGAUACUAUCGUUUAGCUACUUUUUUUUUUUUUUGUGAAGCAGAGACAUGUAAAGUGCCUUGAAUGGCUUGUGAUUUACCUAGUUCCCUUUUUAUAUUGCUGUUUUGUAAUAGAGACGGAUGACUUCAGCCAUUUAAAAAAAAGGGAGAUGUGGUUUGAUGUGUAUGGAAACAUCUUUCGCAAUCACUAUUGCAAGAGGUUUCAUUGGUGGCUAUUCAAACUGAUAUAUCACCCAUUUUAACAUAUGAAUCUUAUAUUUCUGCCAAAUAGCUGGUACACCUUGAAGAAUUCAUAAUCCUUGAAGUUGACAACAAAAAUGUAAAAUGUUUGUAUUUUUAAGCCUAAGUUUGUUACAGCCAACUAUCUUUGUAAAAACAACCUAUUGUCGAAACCAGUCAGUUAGCUACUUCCUCUUUGGUCUAAUGGACAAAUCACAAAUUGUUGCAUUCCUGAACAAGAAAAGCACUCUCGCAAUGUCAUCAAAUGAAGCAUAUGCUUUUAAAGUGCACAACUAACAGGGAAUGUCAUGUUAAAGUGUGUAUGUUUCUGUACAGACAGUAUCUCCAUUUGACAAAGUCAGAUUUUCCAAUUACUUACUUCAGCACGCUCCCACAGACCACAAACAGAUGGCCAUCUACAGUAUAUUUUGCAAUAUACAAAUAUACAGAUAUUUCAGGGUUUUUUUUAAAGCUAAAAACCUGUUUUUGCUUCUUCAUUAUGGGGUAUUGUGUGUAGACUGAUGAGGGGAAGAAUUAUUUAAUCAAUGUUAGAAUAAUGCUGUAACGCAACAAAAUGUGGAAAAAGUCAAGGGGUCUGAAUACUUUCCAAAUGCACUUAUCAGAUCUGUUUUUGAUGUCCUCAUUCUCAGCACUAACAUGUCUGUGACUUUUCCUUUUAAAGAUGAUAAUAUUAACAUGCUGAUGUAGUAGACACUUUUAUCCAAAGCGACUAACACGAAGUAAACAUAUUUAGUAGCCUAUAUGUAGCCCAUGGGCAAGUGGCUAACCUUGUGGAUGUUGCUAACCCUAUGCUGAUAAACUCCACAAAACAAGUGUGAA